GCCAGGACACUGAAUAAGCCAUCACCAAGGCCUGAGACCCAACACUCAGGGUCCUGAGAAGGAAAUGGAGCUGAAAGGAGGAGAUGACAGAGUGCCCAGAAAGAAUUCAGCACCUCAAGGCUGAGUUUCCUCGGGUCUAAGUUAUCCCCUUCUGCGAGAAACCCAUGAGGACGAACCCAUGAAGACAUUCGACAUCUGCAGGGAAGUACAGCGUGCUGGGCUGGGAAGAAGCCAAAUUGCAGCACAUUUUCUGACAGAGGGGAAAAGGAUGAAAAAAAUCCAAGAUGCUGGAAAUUCAAGAUCAAGGAACAGUUUUGUGGUUAAGGGGUCAGAAGCUGGUUUGUCCCCUGUCCUUCUGCAGUGACCCCCAGCAAUUUUUAUUUUUCCAUCUGCUUUAUUCUUGGAGUCACGAUGAAGAGGACAUCCUGGCUUUAAUAAUG